GUCCACGCCCUAAACGAUGUCUACUAGUUGUUGGGAGAGUAAAAUCUCUUAGUAACGCAGCUAACGCGUGAAGUAGACCGCCUGGGGAGUACGGUCACAAGAUUAAAACUCAAAGGAAUUGACGGGGCCCGCACAAGCGGUGGAUUAUGUGGAUUAAUUCGAUGCAACGCGAAAACCUUACCUGGCCUUGACAUGCCACUAACGAAGCAGAGAUGCAUUAGGUGCCCGAAAGGGAAAGUGGACACAGGUGCUGCAUGGCUGUCGU
rnacentral:rRNA from 1 species